rnacentral:rRNA from 1 species
AGGACGAACGCUGGCGGCGUGCUUAAUACAUGCAAGUCGAGCGGAAAGGCCCUUCGGGGUACUCGAGCGGCGAACGGGUGAGUAACACGUGAGCAACCUGCCCUUAGCUUCGGGAUAGCUCCGGGAAACCGGAAUUAAUACCGGAUAUGACUAUGGCCGACAUCAGCCAUGGUGGAAAGUUUUUCGGCUAGGGAUGGACUCGCGGCCUAUCAGCUAGUUGGUGAGGUAACGGCUCACCAAGGCGACGACGGGUAGCCGGCCUGAGAGGGCGACCGGCCACACUGGGACUGAGACACGGCCCAGACUCCUACGGGAGGCAGCAGUGGGGAAUAUUGCGCAAUGGGCGAAAGCCUGACGCAGCGACGCCGCGUGGGGAUGAAUGCCUUCGGGUUGUAACCCCUUUCAGCAGGGACGAAGCGAAAGUGACGGUACCUGCAGAAGAAGCGCCGGCUAACUACGUGCCAGCAGCCGC